GUGUUCACUUUUGUAGCACACACAUAAAAUUAGAAGAUACAGAUAUUAGCAUGGCCCCUGCACAAGGCUGACAUGCAAAUUCCUAAAGCAUUCUAUUUUUGC
ensembl:snRNA U6 U6 spliceosomal RNA